GCUCUGGACUUCACAUGGCUUUCACCAGGUUGUGAAGGGCCAAAGCAGUUAAAUAGCUUGGGCCAAUGUAUGCAGUUGUCCAGCAGCUGGGCUAUCAUCGUGUCUGGGUGCCUAGCUGCUUUUAAUAAAAAAGAAAGGUUUCAGAGAGAUAGCCUGGGUAGGGCGAGGGUUUUGAGGGAGUGAGGUACAUGCCUUGGGUACGGAAUUUAAGGGGUACAAGAAACCUCACUCGUUGAGACAAAUGAUAUAAUCAUAUUCUAUUAAAAAUAUACAAAAUCCAAGAUGAACAAAACUUUUAAAUAAAGACAGGCCUGGUGGACUGACGGGGGCCAUGCACAAACAGUGGAUCCUAUGGAGAAGGCUGCUCGAUCUUCAGACCACUUUGCACCAUUGCCUGAGCAGUAGUGUAGACCUUCUCAAGCACUGUAGCAUGAUAAGACGCUUGCAGUAUCUAAGACUCAGAGGCAAAAAGACAAAGAACCAUGGGAGCUCCUGCAGCGGGAGAUUGAGCACAACAACAGGACGUCUGUGUGAAGGAGCUCAUGUCUAGGAAAUUUUUGGCACAGCAUCUAGGAGGCUUAAUUUCGAGAGACUUAAAUGAUUGCAGAGCCUAAGGCUCCCCUAGGUACUGUUCUUUGUAUUAAGACUAAGCUAAUCAGCCUCUUCAGACGCCCUGGGAUAUGCAAGCGUCACCCAAGGAGACUCUGCCACCGUUGGGAAGGGAGUUAACUUCCCUGGCUCUGAGGUAUCUUUGACAUAAGAUAAAUGCGCUGCCUGCUUUGUUGGGUUUCUCCCUGAGUUUUGUGAGUCUCAGAUGAGAUAAUUGUGGAAAUCCUUUAUAAAAGAUGGUGAUCCACACAGUUAGCCAUUGUUACUCUGUGGUAGAUUCUGGUGGUAGCGGUGGCUUUGAAACAGUAGGGAGCCAACAUGAAUAUUUUUAUAGACUGUACCAUGCAGGACUUUUUUUGUGAGGAGUUACAUUUUUGUGGGUGGCUAGUGGGCAUGACUGACUCAUAACUUGCCCCCAACCUUGACAGUGAGUUACUGAGUCCCCCACACAUCAGGCAACACUUGGAAGCAACCUUCCACUAAGAAUAUGAUGCCGGGAGCUGGCUGGAGGUUCCAGCUGUUAGGUGCACUGUAUGGGGAGGGGACUGUCUCAGAACUGGAUGACAUUCUUAGAGAAGGGAGAUGGCAAAUGUGAAAGAUAAGAGUUGGCUUUAAAGUUGGAUGACUGAGAGACACAGAUGGGCUCGGCUGGGUCUCUCUCUUGGUUGAGAUUAAGCUGGUCCCGAGUCCCAGAAAAGUAUUGCAUCACCUGGCCAGAGCUGGAUGUCAAGAGAAAGAUGUCACAGCCUUUGAUGACCAACUCAGGGGUCUAUCAUUCACUUACAUGAGC
rnacentral:lncRNA from 1 species